rnacentral:rRNA from 1 species
CAGUCGCCACGGUAAUACGUAGGUGGCAAGCGUUGUCCGGAAUUAUUGGGCGUAAAGGGCUCGCAGGCGGUUUCUUAAGUCUGAUGUGAAAGCCCCCGGCUCAACCGGGGAGGGUCAUUGGAAACUGGGAAACUUGAGUGCAGAAGAGGAGAGUGGAAUUCCACGUGUAGCGGUGAAAUGCGUAGAGAUGUGGAGGAACACCAGUGGCGAAGGCGACUCUCUGGUCUGUAACUGACGCUGAGGAGCGAAAGCGUGGGGAGCGAACAGGAUUAGAUACCCCCGUAUCCCUGUCUCUUAUACA